AGAAGACUGCUGCUGAUUUUAAACAUUAUUUAUAUUCUUUGUGUUUUAUCUGUUUUAACAAACACAGCAGCUGCUACAAGUUAAUUCAAUACAAUCAACUUUCUGAUGAGAAGCUGAAGACUACGACAGCCAUGUUGUUGGCAGAAGCUGGAUGUGUGUUUAUGGGUUUCAUGCUGUGUUUCUCAGGGGUUCAGGGACGAGCAAACAGCAUCUGUGCUUUAAAAGGUUCAUCAGUGGAUCUGCCCUGCUCAGCUGAACAUCCCAAUACAACCAUGAAAUGGUACAAAGUACAGCCGAUUGGAUCUACAUUUAAUCUGAGCAAUCUCACUGCAGAUGACAGUCAUGUUAAGUACAUGUUGGAAGAGAAUAACUUCAAUCUAACAAUCAAAGAUCUGACAGAGAGUGAUGCAAAGCUUUACUGCUGCAGCAGCAAAGAGGAUGCAGGAACAUCCAGACAGAGUGAGCAAGGCAUGAUUGAGCUCCGUGUUGCAGACCUGCAGGUGAAGGUGAUUCCCUCCACAGAGGGACACACAGUAACACUGAUGUGCAGCAGCAGCUGUCCUCUGACUGAAAACCCUGCAGCCUACAUCUGGUACAAGAACAGAGAGUUUCUCUAUGAGGACUGGUCUCCCUGGUACCAACAGCUGGUCAGCAGUGAGGAAGCAGUCACAUACUCCUGUGCUAUCAAAGGCUACGAGGAUCUCAGAGCCCCUCAAGUCUCAGUGGAUUCUGUCACAUCAGCCUGCUUCAGUGUGACCUAUGCUAAAGGGAAAAUGUGUUCUUAUAAGCAGACAUCAGUGGAUGAGCCCUGCUCCAUCAUAUAUCCAACAGAAGUGCAUGUUCAAAACACUCCUGCAGCUGCACCAUUCCAUGUCAGACUGACCUGUAACACCAACUGUCCUCAGACUGAUCUUCAGACUGCCUUGAGAGUGUACAAGAGCAGUAACUCAGAGGGACAGAAUGAGGUAAUAAAGAAUGUAGUUCCCAUCUCAUCUCCUGAAAGCUUCUCCUGUGCCGUAAAAGGCCUCAAACAUCUACACUCUGCUGCAGUCUGUGCUGAGGAUAAGAACUGUUGGAGUGUGAAUUAUGUCAGCAGGAGAAUCUGUGCUGCUCACGGCUCCUCAGUGGACAUUUCAAGUGAAUAUUCUCAUCCUGACAACCAGCAGCCCCAGUCUAAAUUAUGGUAUAAAAUAAUCAGAAGUGGUAAGAAGGAUCCUGAAAAGCUGAGUGAGGUUGCAGGUCGCGUUGAGUACCAUGGAAACAUGAACAAUCAUCACACCCUGUCAAUUAAAGACCUGACGAGGAAUGACUCAGCAGAAUACAAAUUCAAGAUCCAGACACAAGACGGAUGGAAACAGUCAGAUUUUUCUGGAGUGACGUUGGUUGUAACAGGUCUUAAAGUGACGUUCACUCCCUCUGCAGUGGUGACAGAGGGUCAGAGAGUCACACUGACCUGCAACACCAGCUGUCCUCUGAACACAGACUACAUCUGGACCUUCAACAGUCGACCUCUGAACCUGCCAGAGAGCCAAAACAAACACCUGGUUCUAGACCCAGUCAGCAGUCAGCAUGAAGGAAGGUACUCCUGUAUGGUCAAAACUGGCAGAAGAACCAUUGGCUCAAGUGAAAAAACUCUGACUGUCCAAAAUGUUGAACAGGAACAAACAUCAGCAGCAGCUGCAGGAGUGUGUGCUGCUCUCCUGGUUUUAAUACUUCUCGCUGUCUUUUGCUGGAUUAGGUAA
ensembl:lncRNA